rnacentral:rRNA from 1 species
UGCGUAGGCGGCUUUUUAAGUUUGGUGUGAAAUCUCCCGGCUCAACUGGGAGGGUGCGCCGAAUACUGAGAGGCUAGAGUGUGGGAGAGGAAAGUGGAAUUCCUGGUGUAGCGGUGAAAUGCGUAGAUAUCAGGAGGAACACCGGUGGUGUAAACGGCUUUCUGGACCAUAACUGACGCUGAGGCACGAAAGCGUGGGUAGCAAACAGGAUUAGAUACCCUGGUAGUCCACGCCCUAAACGAUGCAUAUUUGGUGUGGGCCAUUCAUUUUGGUCUGUGCCGGAGCUAACGCGUUAAAUAUGCCGCCUGGGGAUACAGUCGCAAGGCUGAA